GCUACGGUCGGAUGGAGGUGCAUCUCUCCUGGAUCGGACGGUCCACAACGAAAGGUCGGUGGCCGUCCUCGUUUAAUUAACUCACUUAAAUUAUUGUGCUUGUCCCGCGAUACCAAGUAGGAGAGAGAAUCCUCGCUCGUCACAGCUCCUACAGUCCUACUUUAAUCAUCACUCGUCCUAUUUCAUCAUGUUGUUUAAAACAAGACAGUAAGAUCGUCCCCCAUGUCCUUGUAUAAAACAGCAACUGCAACGUCUCAGAAUCAUCGGUGAGGAGAGGAGAGGAGAGGAGAGGAGGGGAUGGGGGGGGGGAGGAACUCCUCGUUGUUCGUUCGUACUCCUUUGGUGGCUGGUACCUGAGGACGGGAGAGGAGGAGUAUUUAUCGAUUGCUUUCUGCAACCAAUCUAUACUCACAAACCAGAUCAUUGAUAGGAAUAAUAGAUCUGAUCUUCCUCCUUUUGCUUCCGUUGCUAUAUACCACCACCACCACCUCUUCAAGGAGCUCCAUGGACAGCAUCCUCCUCGACCAGUCCCAGGUGAACCCAAGAAAAGUUUCUCUUGACGUCGCUGCUGAUUCCGGAGGAAGGUUUGUGCCGAGAGCUAUACACGGUUCUCUCGGCUCCUAUUCUUCCUUGACCCAACAUUUACCAGACCAUCAUGCUGCAGUAGGUGGCUUCCGGUCAUGCGUGUCGCAGCCUCUGCAGCCGCCGCAGCGGCAGCUGCUUUAUGCUUCUCUUCCCUCUUCGUUUUGCGCUGAUCUAAUGGGAGGAGUGCCUCCUCCUCACCAUCAUCAUCUCCCUCCUCUGCCACACCUUCAACAACCGCCUCUUCUCCCCCUUCCCUUGACCAAAUCAGCAACCCUUCCCCCGUCUCCCAAGGUGACCAGAACGAACACCGGUACGGGGAUGGCUCGGUCGAGAGACCACAGGACGAAGCCGAAGCCUUGGGCGAGUUCAAAGAAGGAAACACAGCCGUCGACCAAGGCCGCUGUUCAACCCCGCGAGCCAAAAGACGAGCCCCAGAAGACGAUGAGAGAGGGGGUGGCCAUCGUGUCCAACAACGGGGAAGGGAAGGAGGAAGAAGAGGAGGAGAUCUAUAUGGAGUCCAUUUACUCGCUCUCUCCGCCUCCGGCCAACCUUCCUCUGCCUAGUUUCCUUCUUACCAGGCACAGGGCCGCCUGUAACACCCAAGUUAUCAUGGAAGGUGGUGCUGGUGGCCGCGGUUGAGUGGACGCCGAAGCCGACGACGUCCUCCACCCCAAGAAAAAAAAACAUUGUCGUGAUAUUUCCUUUCCUUUUAUUUUUUCUUUUUUUUUUCUAAUUCCACGUUUCGGCAGACUUCAAUUGCUGAAUCAUGGGAAUGCAAGUUAUGAAGGGGAAGAAGGGCCAUAGUUUUGUGAUAGCCCUUCUUGUCUAUGGAAGUGUGGAUCAAGGUCAUCGUCCUGUAUGUAUCCUCUUUUUAUUGGGUUAAGAUAGGGUCCGUGUCCAUCGCUGUGUGUUCACUUCUUAUGGCCUUCUUUUAAGUAAGGCUUGGAAAACCUGGGAGCCCCUCCCUCGAUUUGCUUUGUUCACUCUUUAGCUUUAAUCGCUGUACCCACUGUGGCUUUGUAGUAUAAAUAAACAGACUAUGUUUCUUUCUUUA